CAACCCUCAAGCUCUGCUUGGUAUUGAGUCUAUGUCAGCAAUGGCAGGCUCUAAAAUCAGUGGCGGCGCCGCUGGGUCCUGAACGUAGUAAUAUCUCUCGUUACAGGUUCUCGGUGUGCUUCUGCCAAAACCCCAAAUUUUCUAUGG
rnacentral:rRNA from 1 species